AACGAACGCUGGCGGCGUGCUUAACACAUGCAAGUCGUACGAGAAACACGUCCUUCGGGGCGUGGAGUAAAGUGGCGCACGGGUGAGUAACACGUGGGUAACCUGCCUUGUGGACUGGGAUAACUGGCCGAAAGGCCCGCUAAUACCGGAUAUGGCCACAGGGGCUUCGGCCCUGGUGGAAAAAGUCGGCCUCUCGAAGAAGCCGGCACCAUGAGAGGGGCCCACGGACCAUUAGCUAGUUGGUAGGGUAACGGCCUACCAAGGCUGAGAUGGUUAGCUGGUCUGAGAGGAUGGCCAGCCACACUGGAACUGAGAUACGGUCCAGACUCCUACGGGAGGCAGCAGUGAGGAAUAUUGCGCAAUGGGGGAAACCCUGACGCAGCAACGCCGCGUGGGUGAAGAAGGCUCUCGGGUUGUAAAGCCCUGUCAGGUGGGAAGAACCCUCUGAAAGUGAAUAGCUUUCAGAACUGACGGUACCACCAAAGGAAGCACCGGCUAACUCCGUGCCAGCCGCCGCCGUAAAAC
rnacentral:rRNA from 1 species